UUUUUUUUUUUUUUUUUUUUUUUUUUGCAUUUUUAAUAGAGAUGGGGUUUCGCCAUGUUGAUUAGCCUGGUCUCAAACUCCUGACCUCAGGUAAUCCACCCGCCUUGGCCUCCCAAAGUGCUGGGAUUAUAGGCAUGAGUCAAUGCACCCUGCUGAUUUGUGUAAAUUUUUUCUAGCGAUGAGUUAGCUGACCUCUGGUUGUUACAGCACCUUCUAUGCAUGGCAUUUCUGUUUUUACCAAAACCAUCCAUUUGUUGGCUCCCAAAGGAAGGAGACAGGCAAAUCUGCCCGACCGUCUCAGUCCCCCACCAACCUAUACCCCUGGUUUGCCGCUGGACUGACCACAGGCAUGCGGAUGGGAUGGCAUUAAUGGAUGUGUAAACAACUGUUUGAAUGCAAAUUUGAAGUGGGCGUGCCCUAGCUACGUGGCCCUCCUAGAGAUAUUUGUCUCCAAUCAUGGACUGCCUUGGAGAAGCUCUUCUAAAGCCAUAGAAUGGUUAAUUGCAAAUAGUUUUCAUCAAAAUGAAUUUGAGCUGUUCCUAUAGGCACACUCUUGAGUUGGACCAGAGGUUGAUAAGGCCCCCGACCCCAGCUCCAAAUUGUCGCCCUUUCUAAGCUUCUGAAAGAACCGCAGGAGACUAUAAACUCAUUGGUACCAAGACAAUGGGCAAUUUGAAGUGAGGCCCUUCAGAGGACGGGGCUCCCUGCUCCCAGGCAUUGACCGCAGGGGGGUGCCCCCCAGCAGGAGCAGCAGUGAGCCUCCUGUGUGAUGGGCUGCGUGUUGGCUGCUUCAUUUUAUUCCCAGUUGCUUUUAUGUGCCUGGGCUGACUGUCAAGGACUUGGGUGCCCCACGCCCAUGUGUGGGAAUCCUUCAGCAAAUCUUCCCUCUUACUGGACCUGUUUUGCCUGGAAGCAGGUGGUAGAAUUCAAAAAGCAAGUGUCCAGAGCCUUUUUGUGGCUGUGAUUAAUUUCCCCACCUCACUCGGGCUGGCAGGGGCUGCAUCCUGACACAGCCGGUCCACGGCAGAGUGACCCUUUGCUCACCGGCUCCUGUUGAUCACAUCGAUUCAGAAGUGGGGGCGGGAGAGGAAUAUUUUCUCCUCCUGGACGCCUCUCUCUUCUGGGCUAGGAUGAUUCGUCUCUCCUCCACAGACAAUGCUGCCUCAUUUAAAACUACUUUAAUUAAUCUUUUUGGAGAAGGAGGUGUUUUGAAAAUGUGACAGGCACUCAUGAGAGAGAUAAUGGAUGGAUGGUGGGCAUGCGAGGGGCCCCAGCGUGCUCCUCGUGGCGAGGUGGGGUGUGUGCUACAUAAUUUGGGUAGGAUCAAGCCCUCCAGGAC
rnacentral:lncRNA from 1 species